rnacentral:rRNA from 1 species
UCAUGAUUAAAUUUGAAUUUGAUGAAAACAAAAGCAGAAGUAAUCUCGAAAAGCACGGUAUUGAUUUUCAUACAGCUCAAGGAUUGUGGAAUGAUUCAGAUCUUAUCGAGAUCCCUGCUAACACGAGUGAUGAGCCCAGAUAUUUGGUUGUCGGCUUACUAAACGGUAAGCAUUGGUCAGGAGUAAUUACCUACCGAGGUACGAAUAUCAGGAUCAUCUCAGUUCGGCGUUCACGGAAAGCGGAGGUAAGCCUUUAUGAAAGCGCAUGAAUUUGAUGCCAAGUUUGAAAGUGACGACGAUGAUAUCGUAAUGGACUUGGAUCUAUCGCAAGCUAAAAGACCGAUGCAUAAGCAAAAACGAGUCAAUGUAGAUUUUCCAGCCUGGAUGCUUGAGUCCUUGGACAGAGAAGCGAGUCGUAUUGGUGUAACACGUCAAUCAAUCAUUAAAAUUUGGCUGGCAGAAAGGUUAGAGAGCGUGUCUCAUCAUUCAAGUGUGAGAUAAACGGCUAACAAAGCAUUUAAGAGGGACUCACAACGCGUGGCAUUUUUGCCAUGCGUUUGUUUUUGUGAUGAAUUUGCUAUGCAUUGAGUGCUUUUGUGCGUUGUUCGCCCCUUAACGCGGCGUUAUAUUUAUUGGAGAUUUUGGUGAAAAUAAAGAAUGUGUUCGCUAUUUUACUGAUAGUGUAUCUGAUACCAAUAGCCGUAUGGUAUUUUGUAAUGGUUGUUGUUAAUGAUUAUGCUUUAAGCACAUUAAAUUCUGACUGGGGAGCGUUUGGGUCAUUUGUUGGCGGUGUACUAUCUCCUAUAUUUUCCUUGGUUUCUGUUCUUUUUGUAAUUAAAUCAAUUAAUGAAAAUAAUACAAACAACAAUAUUGAAAUUGAAUUAAUAAAAAAACAAGAUAGAAGAAACUAUCUUAUUAGUUUAAUAGCUAUAUUUAACAAUAACAUGCUGUCAAAUAUUGACAGCUAUCUAAAUGCAUUCGAUAGACCUAUUCAAAUUGCUGAUAACAAAUUUCAUAUGUUUACUGAUGAAAGUGUAAAGGUUUCUCUAAUGAAGUAUAUGUCUAUUAAGGACUCUAUUAAUGUUAACAAUAAGCUAAUUUUUGACAUGAUUAAUAAUUUUACUGCUAAUUGUGAGAUUUCAUUCAGCAUAAUACUUAAAUAUGUUAAUUCAAUUGAAGGUCUUGAUGAGGUCAAUGAAUUUAUGGAUGUCGUAGAAGCUGCUUUAGAUAAUAAUUUUAUUAAUGCAUUGUUAAGUUUUAGGCUAUAUGAGCAGGCAUGCGGAUGGAGUCAAAAAUCUCCAUUGCUUGAUCAGCUUGUAUCUAUUAAUAAUAAGACAAGAUAUAAAUCUGAGUGGGUUGAAAGGUAUCAAGAACAAAUUGGUGCUAAAUAAAUAUAACAAACGCUUCAAGAGGGACAGCCAACGCGCGGCAUUUUUAUAAUGCAUUGGUUUAUGUGGUUACUGUGUUAUGCGGAAUCUUGGUAGUAGCGUUGUCUGCCCCUUAAGCGGGCGUUAGUUUCUAUCAAGAAAAAUCAUCAAAAGCUCAGGUUCAACGUUUUGAAAAAUCAGCUUUCAAGUUGUCCGACUUGGUUUUUGAGUUUCAGGCUGAUGUUGCAUUGGUAGAAAGUGUUGGAAGUUCAACAGUUUCAAAAUUGCUGAAAAUCAGCAAGCCUCGAAGCUUCAAUGUUGUUGGAUUUUCCACACGGUCAGUUUGGUUUCACAAAUAGCUGCAUCAUCGCUGUGAUCUGGCCUUUCUUUGUCGCCGACUCUUAACCGAGGCCAACUUAACCUUGAUCGUUUUAAGUUUUGGCUGCCAACUUCACAGCUUUUGGUGUUGGACGUGUGCUUGUUCGAUGCAUUUGCGUAAAAUGACUUUCAAGCAAAUGUGUUAAAAAAGUCAUUGCUAAACAUAGGCUACGAAACUAACAAACGCCUCAAGAGGGACUGUCAACGCGCGGCGUUUCCAGUCCCAUUGAGCCGCGGUGGUUUCGGUGGUUUGUGUUUGGGUUUGGUUGUUAUGCGUUGUCAGCCCCUUAGGCGGGCGUUAUUUUGCUUAUUCAAAUCAUGGAGGAAAGCGGUAAGUGUUAUAUGCCAAAGCUUUAAGUAUUGGAGACGAAAUUGGUUUUUUCUCACCAUCUUCACCGGCUACAGCCUUUGCUCCAAAUCGAUUUCAAAGAGCAAAAGCUUAUCUUAAGGCACAGGGAUUUGAGUUAGUUGAAGGUUCGCUUACGGGAAAAUCUGAUUAUUACCGCUCAGGCUCGAUUCGGGAGCGUGCUGAAGAAUUGAAUCAACUUAUUCGGGAUCCGAAUGUCCGUUGCAUCAUGCCUACCAUUGGAGGCAAUAAUAGCAAUUCACUGUUGCCGUAUAUUGAUUAUGAAGCCUUAAGAAACGAUCCAAAGAUCAUCAUUGGUUAUUCAGAUGUCACAGCUUUAUUGCUCGGGAUCUAUGCUCAAACAGGACUUAUCACAUUUUAUGGCCCAGCCUUAGUCGCUUCGUUUGGUGAGUAUCCUCCAUUGGUUGAUGAAACCUUUCAUUCGUUUAUCGAUCUGUUGUGUUCAGAGACGAAUCAAUAUCAAUACACUAUGCCCUCGUCAUGGACAGAUAUUAAGCACGAUUGGGAAACUCAGCAUUCAGCUAAGCCCGUUUAUCCGAAUGAAUGGCAGUUUAUCGGUAAAGGCAAAGUGACAGGCAGAAUUAUUGGCGGGAACCUCAACACCAUGGCUGGGAUCUGGGGUAGUCGAUACAUGCCAGAGAUUAAAGUUGGCGAUAUUUUACUCAUAGAGGAUUCUCUGAAAGGUAUCGAAAAUGUCGAACGUUCUUUUGCACAUCUCGCAGCUUGUGGCGUUUUUGAGCGAGUGAGUGCGAUCAUUUUGGGGAAGCAUGAGUUAUUUGACAACAAAGGUACAGGGAGAACACCUCUGGACGUUUUAAUCGAAGUAUUAGCGGAUAAAAAUGUACCUAUAUUUUAUGGUUUUGAUAGUUGUCAUACGCAUCCGAUGCUCGUCACACCAUUAGGUGUGCGAGGUACAAUCGAUUUCGACAAUCAUACCUUUAAGCUAGAAGAUCGUUGGGUAAAAGCAAAAUAACAAACGCCUCAAGAGGGACUGUCAACGCGUGGCGUUUCCAGUCCCAAUGAGCCGCGGUGGUUGCAGUUCUUGUGUUUGAGUUUAGUGGCAUGCGUUGC